rnacentral:tRNA from 11 species
AGUGACUACCGGGACUCAGUGGCCGAGUGGAUAACGCGCUGGCGUUUGAAGCGAGCGUACUGGGUU